CCCACCUCAGAUGGAGGUGUGAGUUACCACACCCGGCCCUAAAAUGCUCUUAAAUGGGCAAAAGUGCAAGACCAUCUGGUAGGAGUCACUGGGGCCACGCUGAGCUGCAGGAAUGGAAAUAACCCCAGCACAGGCUGAGGGGAUCAGGAGGGAAGGCACCUGCCCAGGAAGAGGUGGAAUGUAAUCCCCACCAUCACCUGUGAGACAGUGACGAACAUGCUAGAGUGUGUGGAUUCUUUCCCACGGGCAGCCUUUGAAGUGUUUCAGGAGGAAAUGGUUUGGGCCUGAUUCUCUGAGCUGCUGCUUCUGCAUUUUGACUGCACAUGAGAAUUGCCCGGGGAGCUUCUCAAAGGAAAA